CCUCCCUCUGGAAGCCAGCUAAUAAUUUCUCAUUAGCAAGAACAAGUGAAAAAGAUUGCUGUUGCACCAGAAGCCUAUUGAAUAUGAUAAUGGAGGCACCUCCUCCCUCCCCCCUCCAUGCUCAGAUUAGGGCUGGAGACCAAACCUGUGUCUUCCUGCCCCAGCCCAGGUCUGGAACAUUCCAGAAAAUGCAUAAACUCUGCAGGACCAUGGAGAAAAGAGGAACCUGUCUGUUCCUCCAAACAUCAGAAAUGUGUGGGUGAAGUGUGCUCCUCAACAGCUUCAAGCCAUUCAGAUAAUGGCCCCAUUGCUUUCCUGCCAAAUUUGAUGGGACGAGUUGGAAGGUGAGAGCCUGAGAGCUUGGAUGAGUUGCUCACAUGUCUUCAGUAGUUCAGAGUGAUGGGCUUCUUGGAAAGUCUGUGGCUAUAAGGAGGGUCCUCCUGGAAGAAGAAGUCACAGAAGUGAUGGAGACUUGAUGCAGGGAUGAGAGCCAAUGGCACACGAGGGACAAGCAUUCUUACAGAAGGCAGGUGCCUCACGUGUCUAAGGAGCAGAGACAGAUGAGUAGAGUGAGUGUGAGAGAGAAUGGCUGGAUCUGACUUGGGAGAGGAGAGCGGAUGGGGCAGGUGGAGCCGGGCUCCGGCCUCUCACCUGGAGACGACCUGUGGCCUGUGGAAAGUCUUGAGGGAAC
rnacentral:lncRNA from 12 species